GGUCGGCACUGUUGGGUACUUUUACGCGCCGGCCGACACCUCGCGGGUUUCGCGUGCCUCUAUCUAUUGCGUGCGACUCUCCUCGUUUCGCACACUCUCUCGCGCGCGCGCGUUUGAUAACUUUUCAACACGGACUGUAAACGCACAAAACGUCUUAUUUCCUACAUGAUAAUCCAAUUUUUCAUCCAAAAUUAAUGUAGGCAAGUAGAAAAAGGCUUGUUC
ensembl:ncRNA Y37E3.29 ncRNA